UACAUGGGGUGCAAACGUUUGCUCGGAAUUAUUGGGCGUAAAGCGCGCGUAGGCGGUUACUUAAGUUGGAUGUGAAAGCCCUCGGCUUAACUGAGGAAGUGCAUCCAAAACUGAGUAGCUAGAGUACGAAAGAGGGUCGCGGAAUUCCCGGUGUAGAGGUGAAAAUUCGUAGAUAUCGGGAGGAACACCGGUGGCGAAGGCGGCGACCUGGGUCGAGACUGACGCUGAGGCGCGAAAGCGUGGGGAGCAACAGG
rnacentral:rRNA from 1 species